UGCAGCGAGUUGAUGAAAGUGACCCUUGUGUACGCCUCUGUUUCCAGGAUGUGAAACCCAAUUCCGGGUGGGAUUGAUCCUUGUCUGGCCACAGAGGGGAUAAGACCAGAAGGAGAAGAUAAGAGAAGACGCUGAGUGGUCAGCGAUACAGUUGAACCAUCACCUUCUACCACAGACAGCAGAAAGGAGCUGUAGCAGCAUGUGUCAGCUAAACUGUGUCGGGAAGACAGCCUGCAAAGAUCCUGUAAGCACAGACUGUAGUGGCACGGGUUUUAGGCUGGGGAACUUUCUGUAGUCCUCACUACAUGCGUUGGAGCUCG